UUCCUGGUAGCUUAAUUGGUAGAGCAUAUGGCUGUUAACCAUCAGGUUGCGGGUUCGAGUCCUGCUCAGGAAG
rnacentral:tRNA from 1 species